rnacentral:rRNA from 1 species
UGGGGAAUAUUGCACAAUGGGCGCAAGCCUGAUGCAGCCAUGCCGCGUGUAUGAAGAAGGCCUUCGGGUUGUAAAGUACUUUCAGUCGGGAGGAAGGUGUCAAGGUUAAUAACCUUGGCAAUUGACGUUACCGACAGAAGAAGCACCGGCUAACUCCGUGCCAGCAGCCGCGGUAAUACGGAGGGUGCAAGCGUUAAUCGGAAUUACUGGGCGUAAAGCGCACGCAGGCGGUUGAUUGAGUCAGAUGUGAAAUCCCCGGGCUUAACCCGGGAAUUGCAUCUGAUACCGGUCAGCUAGAGUCUUGUAGAGGGGGGUAGAAUUCCAUGUGUAGCGGUGAAAUGCGUAGAGAUGUGGAGGAAUACCGGUGGCGAAGGCGGCCCCCUGGACAAAGACUGACGCUCAGGUGCGAAAGCGUGGGGAGCAAACAGG